rnacentral:rRNA from 1 species
UUAAGCGACUAAGCGUACACGGUGGAUGCCCUGGCAGUCAGAGGCGAUGAAGGACGUGCUAAUCUGCGAUAAGCGUCGGUAAGGUGAUAUGAACCGUUAUAACCGGCGAUUUCCGAAUGGGGAAACCCAGUGUGAUUCGUCACACUAUCAUUAACUGAAUCCAUAGGUUAAUGAGGCGAACCGGGGGAACUGAAACAUCUAAGUACCCCGAGGAAAAGAAAUCAACCGAGAUUCCCCCAGUAGCGGCGAGCGAACGGGGAGCAGCCCAGAGCCUGAAUCAGUGUGUGUGUUAGUGGAAGCGUCUGGAAAGGCGUGCGAUACAGGGUGACAGCCCCGUACACAAAAAUGCACAUACUGUGAGCUCGAUGAGUAGGGCGGGACACGUGGUAUCCUGUCUGAAUAUGGGGGGACCAUCCUCCAAGGCUAAAUACUCCUGACUGACCGAUAGUGAACCAGUACCGUGAGGGAAAGGCGAAAAGAACCCCGGCGAGGGGAGUGAAAAAGAACCUGAAACCGUGUACGUACAAGCAGUGGGAGCACGCUUAGGCGUGUGACUGCGUACCUUUUGUAUAAUGGGUCAGCGACUUAUAUUCUGUAGCAAGGUUAACCGAAUAGGGGAGCCGAAGGGAAACCGAGUCUUAACUGGGCGUUAAGUUGCAGGGUAUAGACCCGAAACCCGGUGAUCUAGCCAUGGGCAGGUUGAAGGUUGGGUAACACUAACUGGAGGACCGAACCGACUAAUGUUGAAAAAUUAGCGGAUGACUUGUGGCUGGGGGUGAAAGGCCAAUCAAACCGGGAGAUAGCUGGUUCUCCCCGAAAGCUAUUUAGGUAGCGCCUCGUGAAUUCAUCUCCGGGGGUAGAGCACUGUUUCGGCAAGGGGGUCAUCCCGACUUACCAACCCGAUGCAAACUGCGAAUACCGGAGAAUGUUAUCACGGGAGACACACGGCGGGUGCUAACGUCCGUCGUGAAGAGGGAAACAACCCAGACCGCCAGCUAAGGUCCCAAAGUCAUGGUUAAGUGGGAAACGAUGUGGGAAGGCCCAGACAGCCAGGAUGUUGGCUUAGAAGCAGCCAUCAUUUAAAGAAAGCGUAAUAGCUCACUGGUCGAGUCGGCCUGCGCGGAAGAUGUAACGGGGCUAAACCAUGCACCGAAGCUGCGGCAGCGACGCUUAUGCGUUGUUGGGUAGGGGAGCGUUCUGUAAGCCUGUGAAGGUGUGCUGUGAGGUAUGCUGGAGGUAUCAGAAGUGCGAAUGCUGACAUAAGUAACGAUAAAGCGGGUGAAAAGCCCGCUCGCCGGAAGACCAAGGGUUCCUGUCCAACGUUAAUCGGGGCAGGGUGAGUCGACCCCUAAGGCGAGGCCGAAAGGCGUAGUCGAUGGGAAACAGGUUAAUAUUCCUGUACUUGGUGUUACUGCGAAGGGGGACGGAGAAGGCUAUGUUGGCCGGGCGACGGUUGUCCCGGUUUAAGCGUGUAGGCUGGUUUUCCAGGCAAAUCCGGAAAAUCAAGGCCGAGGCGUGAUGACGAGGCACUACGGUGCUGAAGCAACAAAUGCCCUGCUUCCAGGAAAAGCCUCUAAGCAUCAGGUAACAUCAAAUCGUACCCCAAACCGACACAGGUGGUCAGGUAGAGAAUACCAAGGCGCUUGAGAGAACUCGGGUGAAGGAACUAGGCAAAAUGGUGCCGUAACUUCGGGAGAAGGCACGCUGAUACGUAGGUGAAGCGACUUGCUCGUGGAGCUGAAAUCAGUCGAAGAUACCAGCUGGCUGCAACUGUUUAUUAAAAACACAGCACUGUGCAAACACGAAAGUGGACGUAUACGGUGUGACGCCUGCCCGGUGCCGGAAGGUUAAUUGAUGGGGUUAGCGCAAGCGAAGCUCUUGAUCGAAGCCCCGGUAAACGGCGGCCGUAACUAUAACGGUCCUAAGGUAGCGAAAUUCCUUGUCGGGUAAGUUCCGACCUGCACGAAUGGCGUAAUGAUGGCCAGGCUGUCUCCACCCGAGACUCAGUGAAAUUGAACUCGCUGUGAAGAUGCAGUGUACCCGCGGCAAGACGGAAAGACCCCGUGAACCUUUACUAUAGCUUGACACUGAACAUUGAGCCUUGAUGUGUAGGAUAGGUGGGAGGCUUUGAAGUGUGGACGCCAGUCUGCAUGGAGCCGACCUUGAAAUACCACCCUUUAAUGUUUGAUGUUCUAACGUGGACCCGUGAUCCGGGUUGCGGACAGUGUCUGGUGGGUAGUUUGACUGGGGCGGUCUCCUCCUAAAGAGUAACGGAGGAGCACGAAGGUUGGCUAAUCCUGGUCGGACAUCAGGAGGUUAGUGCAAUGGCAUAAGCCAGCUUGACUGCGAGCGUGACGGCGCGAGCAGGUGCGAAAGCAGGUCAUAGUGAUCCGGUGGUUCUGAAUGGAAGGGCCAUCGCUCAACGGAUAAAAGGUACUCCGGGGAUAACAGGCUGAUACCGCCCAAGAGUUCAUAUCGACGGCGGUGUUUGGCACCUCGAUGUCGGCUCAUCACAUCCUGGGGCUGAAGUAGGUCCCAAGGGUAUGGCUGUUCGCCAUUUAAAGUGGUACGCGAGCUGGGUUUAGAACGUCGUGAGACAGUUCGGUCCCUAUCUGCCGUGGGCGCUGGAGAACUGAGGGGGGCUGCUCCUAGUACGAGAGGACCGGAGUGGACGCAUCACUGGUGUUCGGGUUGUCAUGCCAAUGGCACUGCCCGGUAGCUAAAUGCGGAAGAGAUAAGUGCUGAAAGCAUCUAAGCACGAAACUUGCCCCGAGAUGAGUUCUCCCUGACCCUUUAAGGGUCCUGAAGGAACGUUGAAGACGACGACGUUGAUAGGCCGGGUGUGUAAGCGCAGUGAUGCGUUGAGCUAACCGGUACUAAUGAACCGUGAGGCUUAACCUU